UGGGGAAUAUUGCACAAUGGGCGCAAGCCUGAUGCAGCAACGCCGCGUGAACGAUGAAGGUCUUCGGAUCGUAAAGUUCUGUUGCAGGGGAAGAUAAUGACGGUACCCUGUGAGGAAGCCCCGGCUAACUACGUGCCAGCAGCCGCGGUAAUACGUAGGGGGCUAGCGUUAUCCGGAUUUACUGGGCGUAAAGGGUGCGUAGGUGGUCUUUCAAGUCGGUGGUUAAAGGCUACGGCUCAACCGUAGUUAGCCUCCGAAACUGGAAGACUUGAGUGCAGGAGAGGAAAGUGGGAUUCCCAGUGUAGCGGUGGAAUGCGUGGAUAUUGGGAGGAACACCAGUAGCGAGGGCGGCUUUCUGGACUGCAACUGACACUGAGGCACGAAAGCGUGGGUAGCAAACAGG
rnacentral:rRNA from 1 species